rnacentral:rRNA from 1 species
AUUGAACGCUGGCGGCAGGCCUAACACAUGCAAGUCGAACGAGUGGCGGACGGGUGAGUAAUGUCUGGGAAACUGCCUGAUGGAGGGGGAUAACUACUGGAAACGGUAGCUAAUACCGCAUACCAUCGGAUGUGCCCAGAUGGGAUUAGCUAGUAGGUGGGGUAACGGCUAACCUAGGCGACGAUCCCUAGCUGGUCUGAGAGGAUGACCGGCCACACUGGAACUGAGACACGGGCCAGACUCCUACGGGAGGCAGCAGUGGGGAAUAUUGCAACAUGGGUGCAAGCCUGAUUCAGCCAUGCCGCGUGUAUGAAGAAGGCCUUCGGGUUGUAAAGUACUUGCAGCGGGGAAGCGUUACCCGCAGAAGAAGCACCGGCUAACUCCGUGCCAGCAGCCGCGGUAAUAC